rnacentral:rRNA from 1 species
AGAGUUUGAUCCUGGCUCAGGACGAACGCUGGCGGCGUGCCUAAUACAUGCAAGUCGAGCGGAGCACUUCGGUGCUUAGCGGCGGACGGGUGAGUAACACGUAGGCAACCUGCCUGUAAGACCGGGAUAACUACCGGAAACGGUAGCUAAGACCGGAUAAUUGGUAUCUUUGCAUGGAGAGAUCAUGAAACACGGCGCAA